AUGUAUGGACGGGAUAAGUGCUGAAAGCAUCUAAGCAUGAAGCCCCCCUCAAGAUGAGAUUUCCCAACUUCGGUUAUAAGAUCCCUCAGAGAUGAUGAGGUUAAUAGGUUCGAGGUGGAAGCGUGGUGACACGUGGAGCUGACGAAUACUAAUCGAUCGAAGACUUAAUCAAUUU
rnacentral:rRNA from 1 species